rnacentral:lncRNA from 1 species
UCUGAGGUGUGAUCACUGUACCAGGGGUGUCUUGAAUCAUCCCUGAGGGGUGAACACUGUGACAGGAGGUGUCUUGAAUCAUCCCUGAGGUAAGAGCACUGCACCAGGAGGUCUUUGGAUCAUCAUACCUGAGGUGUGAACAUUUCACCCAGAAGUGUCAUAUCAUGUCUGAGGUGUGACCCAUGCACUAGGAGGUGUUUUGUAUCAUGCCUGAGUUGUGACCACUGUCCCAGAGGGUGUUUUGGAACAUCCCUGAGGUGUGAGCACUGCACCAGGCGGUGUCUUGGAUCAUCUCUGUAGUGUGAGAAUUACACAAAGAGGUGUUUUUAAUUAUCCCUGGGGUGAGAGCACUACACCAGGAAUUGUGUUGGAUCAUGCCUGAGUGUGAGCACUGCACCAGGAGGUAUUUUGAAUCAUGCCUGAGUUGUGAGCCCUGCAUCAUGAGGUGUUUUGGAUCAUCCCUGAGGUGCGAGCACUGCACCAGGGGGUGUCUUGGAUCAUCCCUGAGGUGUGAGCACUGCACCAGGAGAUGUCUUGGAUCAUCCCUGAGGUGUAAGCACUGCACAAAGGACUGUCUUGUAUUAUUCCUGAGUGCAAACGCUGCACCAGGUGUCUUUUUGGAUCAUUCCUAGGUGUGACCACUGCACCAGGAGGUAUCUCAAGUCAUGCCAGAGAUGUGAGCACUGCAUUAGAAGAUGUUUUGGAUCGUCCCUAAGGUGUGAGCAUGGGACCAGGAGGUCUCUUGGAUCAUCUCUGAGUUGAAAGCACUGUUCCAAGAGGUGUCUUGGAUCAUGCCUGAGUGUGAGCACUGCACCACGUGGUUUUUUGGAUCAUCCCUAGGUGUGAGCACUGCACCAGGAGGUAUCUUGGAUCAUGUCUGAGUUGUGAUCACUGCACCAGGAGAUGUCUUAAAUCAUAUCUGAGUUGUGAGCACUGCUUUGGAGCAUCCCUGAGGUGUGAGCACUGCACGAGGUGGUGUCUUGGAUCAUGCCUGAGUUGUGACCACUGCACCAGGGGGUGUUUUGGAACAUCCUGAGGAGUGAGCACUGCACCAGGUGGUGUCUUGGAUCAUCCCUGUAGUGUGAAAACUGCACAAGGAGGUAUUUUCCAUCAUCCCUAAGGUGGGAGCACUACACCAGGAGGUGUGUUGGAUCAUGCUUGAGGUGUGAACAUUGCACCCAGAAGUGUCUUAUGUCAUGCCUGCAGUGUGAGCACUGCACCAGGAUGUCUAGGAUCAUCCCUGAAUUGUGAGCACUGAACCAGGAGGUGUCUUGAUUCAUCCCUGAGGUGUGAGCACCUCACCAGGAGGUAUCUUGGAUCAUCCCUGAGAUGUGAACACCUCACCAGGAAGUGUCUUGGAUCAUGUCUGAGUUGUGAGCACUGCACCAGGAGGUGUCUUAAAUCAUCUCUGAGGUUUGAGCACUACACCAGGAGGUGUCUUAAAUCAUGCUGAAAAGUGACCACUGCACCAGGAGGCAUCUUGGAUCAUGUCUCAGUUGCAACAGGAGGUGUCUUGGAUCAUCCCUGUGGUAUAAGCACUGCACCAGAAGGUGUCUUGGAUCAACCCUGGGAUGGAGGCAGUGCACCAGAAGGUGUCUUGGAUCAACCCUGGGAUGGAGGCAGUGCACCAGAAGGUGUCUUGGAUCAUCCCUGAUGUGGGAGCACUGCAUCAGGAGAUCUCUUGGAUCAUCGCUGAGGUGUGAGCACUGCACCAGGAGGUAUCUGGAAUGAUUUUUGAGGAGAGUGUAGUGCACGAGGAGGUAUCUUGGAUCUACCCUGAGGUGUGAGCACUGCAACAGGAAGUGUCUUGGAUCAUCCCUGAGGUGUGAGCACUGCAACAGGAUGUGUCCUCAAUCAUCCAUGAGGGGGGAUCACUGCACCAGGAGGUGUCUUGUAUCAUUGCUGAGGUGGAAGCACUGCACAAGGAAGUGUCUUAGAUCANNNNNNNNNNAGGACUGUCUUGAUAACUUCUGAGUGUGACCUUGUACCAGGAGGUGUCCUGUAUCAUCCCUGUGGAGGGAGCACUGCACCAGAAGGUGUAUUGGAUCAUCACUGAAGUGUGAACACUACAUCAAAAGGCAUCACGAAUCAUCCCUAAGGCUUGAGCACUGUACCAGGAGGUGUCUUUGAUCAUGCCUGAGAUGUAAGCACUGCACUAGGAGGUGUUUUGGAUCAUCCCUAGGUGGGAGCACUACACCAAGAGGAGUCUUGGAUCAUCUUUGAGGUGGGAGUACCACACCACGAGGUGUCUUGGAUCAUCCCUGAGGUGGAAGCACUGCACCAGGAGUUGUCUUGGAUCAUUCCUGAGGUGUGAGUACUGCACCAGGAGGUAUCUUGUAUCAUCCCCGAGGUCAGAGCACUACACCAGGAGAUGUUUGGAUCAAACCUGACAUGUAGGCACCGCACCAGAAGGUCUCUUGGAUGAUGCCUGAAUUGUCAGCACUGCACCAGGAAGUGUAUUUUAUCAUCCUUGAGGUCAGAACACUGCACCAGCAAGUGUCUUGGAUUCUGCCUAAGGUGUGAGCACUGCACAAGCAGUUGUCUUGGCUCAUCCCUAAGAAGGGAGUACUGCGCCAGGGGGUGUCUUGGAUUAUGCCUGAGUUGUGAGCACUGUAUCAGGAGGUGUCUUGGAUCAGCCCUGAAUUGUGAGCACUGCACAAGGAGGUGUCUUGGAUCAUCCCUGAGGUGGGAGCACUGCACCAGGAGGUGUCUUCAAUCAUCCCUGAGGUGUGAGCACUGCACCAGGAGAUGUCUUGGAUCAUCCCUGAGGCACCUUCCCAACAUCUAUGACUCUUUGAACUGCUCAUAAAGAGCGCUGAUUAAUGUGACACUUCACAUGCCCACCAUGAAAUUAGGAAGGCCCUUAGAUCUCCUUCAAACCCACGGUGCCGGUGCCUUCGCCCCAUCAAUCAGAGAUGAAACUGUGAUUGCGUUGCAAGGAGACGAGGCCAUCCUGGAGUUCUGCCAUGAAAGAAUCGCUGGGACUCAAAGAAGGGGAAAGCAAGAGAAGGAGAGAGGGGGAAAGGGAAAGAGAAGCUGCUUCCAGAAGGAAUAAAUUUGUGCAUGUACUUUGAUCCUGCUAUGAUUUUUAUUUGU